rnacentral:rRNA from 1 species
UAGCCGUAAACGAUACUCGCUAGGUGUCGGCCACGGUGCGACCGUUGUCGGUGCCGUAGGGAAGCCGUGAAGCGAGCCACCUGGGAAGUACGGCCGCAAGGCUGAAACUUAAAGGAAUUGGCGGGGGAGCACCACAACGGGUGGAGCUUGCGGUUUAAUUGGAUUCAACGCCGGAAAUCUUACCGGGACCGACAGCAACAUGAAGGCCAGGCUGAAGACUUGCCGGAUUAGCUGAGAGGAGGUGCAUGGCGUAGUCGUG